GAUGAACGCUGGCGGCGUGCCUAAUACAUGCAAGUCGAGCGAACAGAUGAGGAGCUUGCUCCUCUGACGUUAGCGGCGGACGGGUGAGUAACACGUGGAUAACCUACCUAUAAGACUGGGAUAACUUCGGGAAACCGGAGCUAAUACCGGAUAAUAUAUUGAACCGCAUGGUUCAAUAGUGAAAGACGGUUUUGCUGUCACUUAUAGAUGGAUCCGCGCCGCAUUAGCUAGUUGGUAAGGUAACGGCUUACCAAGGCAACGAUGCGUAGCCGACCUGAGAGGGUGAUCGGCCACACUGGAACUGAGACACGGUCCAGACUCCUACGGGAGGCAGCAGUAGGGAAUCUUCCGCAAUGGGCGAAAGCCUGACGGAGCAACGCCGCGUGAGUGAUGAAGGUCUUCGGAUCGUAAAACUCUGUUAUUAGGGAAGAACAAAUGUGUAAGUAACUAUGCACGUCUUGACGGUACCUAAUCAGAGAGCCACGGCUAACUACGUG
rnacentral:rRNA from 1 species